rnacentral:lncRNA from 1 species
AGCGAACCAGCAGGGGCCGAAGAACCGUGCAGUGCCAGAGCCAGAGCUGGAUCCGGGGCCCCAGCCGGAGCCGAAACCUGAGCCAGAGUCCGCGGCGGGCGAGCCCGGAGCCCACGAGCCGCAGACGCAGCGCUGCCCAGGUGGGGUAAGAGACGCUGGGCUAGGGGCGCAGGGUCUCCGCGGUGGAGGGGCGCAGGGAGGUGGCGGCCGAGUCCUGCGCAGUUUGCUCCUGGCGUGUGUGGGUCCACCCGGCGGCGCGGGACAGCGCAAGGCGCGGAAGGUCAGGAGCCUUCGAGGCAGCGCGAGGAGCUCGUUCCUGCGCCCAGGGCACAGUCAUAGCCGCCGUCACCGGGUGCUACCUCACCCAACCGGCGGGAUCAACCCUCUGCUUUGGCUCCGGGCACCUCAAGAGGGUAGCAGCCUCGGGGGCACGGGCCACGGCCCCGCGAAGGGCACAACCUGAGAAGCCCGUGGCAGCCCCUCGCAGCGUCGGGUGACACAGGGCUCCCCCACCCCCAGGAGAAGUGGGCAGGAGAGAGGGCCGCCCGCUGCUCCCCGCUGCGUCCAGGGAUGGAGGGCCCCACCACCCAUGGAAUUGCUGGCCCCUCUGCGUGGCCCGGGACUUCAGCCGUGGCUUCGCGUCAAGAGGGUAUUUUUCCUAAACGAAACCGCUUCGUUCGUUCGUUCGUUCGUUCGUUCGGGCAGCAAUGCCGCAGAAAAGCAGCAGACGUCGGUCCGCGCCCUGGCUCUCUUCGCCCCGGACCCCGACGUCCCGCCGCAGCGCUCGGAGGUGCCCCCAGCCCAAGGCAGCCUGCUCUCGCCGGCACAGGUCGGGCUUUUUCUUCCCAGGAGAGAAACCCCAAUUCCCUUCGUAACGUCCAAUAAAGACAUUCCCGCGGCUUCUCCCAGGUUUGGUUGUUGACGCAGGGUCCCGGAGCACGCAGUCGCUUCUCAAGAACCGGGUCUCGGAUUUCUGAAAUUGACCAGCUUCGUAAAUUGGAGCCUAUUCUCCCGCGGCAAAGGCAGGGCCCCAAAGCCGGGAUCGCAGUAAUGGGAACCCCAGGCUGGAAUCCGGGUCCCAAGCUUUUCCGAUUUAGGAAUUCCCCGAAUCUACAAAUAUUUAGUCCACUUUUCUGAAAAACUAAAUUCUGAAAAACACAAAUUCUCUUGACAUCCCUGUGACCUCUGAAAGCCACCAGGGCCAGAGGGAGGAAAUCCCAGGUUGCUGUCCACUGGGGGAGGAUUCAGGUCUAGGGUUCAGGUCUACGGUAGUCAGGGCAAAAGCUACAGGCAGCAGGGGCAGCACAGGAGACUUGCU